rnacentral:rRNA from 1 species
ACGAUGAUCAGGAGCUUGCUCCUGUGAUUAGUGGCGAACGGGUGAGUAACACGUGAGUAACCUGCCCCUGACUCUGGGAUAAGCGUUGGAAACGACGUCUAAUACUGGAUAUGACCGCCGAUCGCAUGGUCUGGUGGUGGAAAGAUUUUUUGGUUGGGGAUGGACUCGCGGCCUAUCAGCUUGUUGGUGAGGUAAUGGCUCACCAAGGCGACGACGGGUAGCCGGCCUGAGAGGGUGACCGGCCACACUGGGACUGAGACACGGCCCAGACUCCUACGGGAGGCAGCAGUGGGGAAUAUUGCACAAUGGGCGAAAGCCUGAUGCAGCAACGCCGCGUGAGGGAUGACGGCCUUCGGGUUGUAAACCUCUUUUAGUAGGGAAGAAGCGAAAGUGACGGUACCUGCAGAAAAAGCACCGGCUAACUACGUGCCAGCAGCCGCGGUAAUACGUAGGGUGCAAGCGUUGUCCGGAAUUAUUGGGCGUAAAGAGCUCGUAGGCGGUUUGUCGCGUCUGCUGUGAAAUCCCGAGGCUCAACCUCGGGCUUGCAGUGGGUACGGGCAGACUAGAGUGCGGUAGGGGAGAUUGGAAUUCCUGGUGUAGCGGUGGAAUGCGCAGAUAUCAGGAGGAACACCGAUGGCGAAGGCAGAUCUCUGGGCCGUAACUGACGCUGAGGAGCGAAAGCGUGGGGAGCGAACAGGAUUAGAUACCCUGGUAGUCCACGCCGUAAACGUUGGGCGCUAGAUGUAGGGACCUUUCCACGGUUUCUGUGUCGUAGCUAACGCAU